GACGGAGGAUGCAAGCGUUAUCCGGAAUGAUUGGGCGUAAAGCGUCUGCAGGUGGCAGUUCAAGUCUGCUGUCAAAGACCGGGGCUUAACUUCGGAAAGGCAGUGGAAACUGAACAGCUAGAGUAUGGUAGGGGCAGAGGGAAUUCCCGGUGUAGCGGUGAAAUGCGUAGAGAUCGGGAAGAACAUCGGUGGCGAAAGCGCUCUACUGGACGGUAUCUGACACUGAGGGACGAAAGCUAGGGGAGCGAAUGGG
rnacentral:rRNA from 1 species